UGAACAAGUUUGUGUUUCUUCGGUGUAACGGUGCGAGUUUGUUAAACAGUUCCGUGUUUUAAAGGACAUUUGCGUUGUUACAGGAAGGUUUUAUUCUCCUGACUGAACUCCUGAAGGUUUAUUUGUAGCAGAUCUGCCAGCGCAGAGUUGGUUUGACCGAUCGGAGAUGAAGUGUGUUUGGGUGAUUCUGUUCCUCCACUGGUCUCUCUCAGGAGCUCAGAGGUUUAAUGUGGAGGGUCCAGAUACUGUUUUUGCUGCUCCUGGUUCUGACAUCGUUCUGCCGUGUUCCAUCAAACCCACCAUGAGUGCUGUGGACAUGGAAGUGAAGUGGAGCAGACAGGAUCUAGGAGACAUCCUGGUGCACCACUAUAUGAAUAAUUCAGACAAGAAUGAUGGACAGAUGCCUUCAUACAGAGGGAGAACAGCUCUGUUUAUAGAGCAGCUACAGUAUGGCAACACCUCACUGCUACUGAAGAACGUUGAAGUGUCUGAUGGAGGACAGUACACAUGUCGUGUUGAUUCUGCCAAAUGGGACGGUCAAGUCCGUGUUCUACUGAAAAUUGAAGCUGUUGGAAGAACCCCAGAGAUCACUGUACUGGGCACUGCCUCAGGUGGGGUUCUUCUACAGUGUGACUCUAAGGGCUGGUGGCCUGUACCUGAACUCCAGUGGCUGGACAGUAAAGGAGUAGAAGUGCCUGCUGGAGUAAAAGAGUCAUGUGAAGAUGGUGAAGGGUUUUAUGUGAGACGCCGCCUCACUGCACACAGCAGUGACACCAACACCUACAUCUGCAGAGUAAAAUAGGGGCAGAACGUGAUGGAGGAAAAGAUCGACAUCACUGGUGAUUUACACUACUGGAAAACAUCACUGGUAAUUUACACUACUGGAAAACAUCACUGGUGAUUUACACUACUGGAAAACAUCAAUGGUGAUUUACACUACUGGAAAACAUCACUGGUAAUUUACACUACUGGAAAACAUCACUGGCGAUUUACACUACUGGAAAACAUCAAUGGUGAUUUACACUACUGGAAAACAUCACUGGUGAUUUACACUACUGAAGUACAUCACUGGUAAUUUGCACUAAUGGAAAACAUCUGAUCACUUGCCCAGGGACUAUACAGCAGCCAUCGUUGUUCCAGUUGUACUGAUCCUGCUCUCAGCACUCG